UAAUUAAGCGGAAAUGGGAAAACAUGUACAUUGAAAGCUUAUUAUUCUAUGCACCAAGCAUUCGGUAGGAAAACACCCUGAUC